rnacentral:rRNA from 1 species
GUGUCAGCAGCCGCGGUAAGACAGAGGUGGCAAGCGUUGUUCGGAAUUACUGGGCUUAAAGGGCGCGUAGGCGGUGGAGUAAGUCUGAGGUGGAAGAUUAGGGCCUAACCCUAAAAUUGCCUUGGAAACUGCAUCACUUGAGUCAGCGAGGGGAUGGCGGAAUUCCAGGUGUAGCGGUGAAAUGCGUAGAUAUCUGGAGGAAGGCCGGUGGCGAAGGCGGCCAUCUGGCGCUGAACUGACGCUGAGGCGCGAAAGCGUGGGGAGCAAACAGGAUUAGAUACCCCCGUAGUCC